GGGUGCGGAGCGGAGGAGGGUGACGGUGUCCCCGGUGGGACAAGGAGGAACGGGUGUGUUGGCAUCCUCCAGCGCCAGGAAUAACCUGCUUGUGCCUAUCUCUGCUUCCCAAGCAUGGAUGGAACAGGGACAGGCAGUACUGGGGGAGCACUGGGCAAGUCCCUGCAGGUAUGGAGCUGCCUGGAUGGUGUUCCAGGGACCUGGAAGCUGCUCAUUGCUUCCUGCUAUUUGUUAUGGGGCUUUGGUGCCUUGUGGCCGUGUCCUUGUGCUGGGACAAGGAGGAGGAAAGGGCUCUCAGGGGGUGCCCUGUGAUACUGUAUGAGAGCAGAAGGGAAAGGCAGAGCUCAAACAAGCCCUAAUUCAGCUCAAUGAGGGGGAAUAGGGGUUCUUCAAACCCCAACUGACCCAUAAAGUCACUGCUGAGCUCUGUGCCCUUGAAUGCUUCAUCUCCAUGCUUGGUAACACCGUGUUUGGGGUGCAGCCCCCCAAACAUCCCAUUGGAAGGGCUGGAGGUGCCUGUGCUGUGUGGGGUUUGUUCCUUCCCUUCUCUUCUGUAUGGCUGCUUUAUGGCUUGGCCUGAAUGGGAUGGUUUGGGUGACGUUCAUGAACCCCAACCUUUGCUCACCCUGCAGAGAGGUGUUUUCUACCCCUUGAGCUGGCUCAGGGGGAUUACAGUCGGUUCAUGGUGUUCUUUACCUCCAGGGUUGUUGGUUUAUGGGUGUCUCUUGCAGCAGGAGGGGGUUGGUCUGGCACAAGUUAAACCUCUGCCUUCAUUCCCAUCACUUCAGGCUGGAUUUCACUGUCAAGGGAAGCCUCAAUGCAUCCAAAGCCUCAGAGCAUCAGGCAAAGGGAACCCCAACUCAUUGGGUUUGCGUUGGAUGUGCUGGGGUUAAUGCUGUGAGCAUGUUAAUGUCCUGCCUUUCCUAAGGAGCCUAUUGAGGAGUAAAUACCCUAAAAUCCC